CGGGACGAGACGAUGCACCCACCUCAGAUGUUUCUUUAUAAACGAUCCCUCUAAUCUGCCGGAGAUCACAAUACUCCAGCGUAUUUACACUCGCAGCAGCACACAGUCUGUUCUCUCCUGCACAAAUAUACAGCACCUCGAUUAAGAAAUAAUACAAUUUAGAAAGAGCGGGGUGUUUUAUUCUCUCAUGUUGGGGAAAUAUGCUCUCUAAUCCUCCAGUAUAAGGACCAUCUGUGUAAAUGUGGCUCUGGUGGGACGGGACAGUCACGAUUCUGACAUAUGAAUCCAGUGAUACGGAUGGUUACUGCUGGCGUCAGGACAAUCCACACGCAUUACACAGGAUCCGCUUACUAAACAAGUAAUCAUGAGACAAAGAGUGGAACUACAAAAAUAAAGCAUGUUUUCAGACUACA
ensembl:lncRNA